UACUUUAUCAAAGGAGGUCAAAAUGAUCCCAAAAUGGCAGCUGCACCAAAUCUGCCUGAAUCAAGCAACCACCUGCACCCCUACAUGUCCAAACAAGUGAUAUUAUGAAGGGAGUACUUGUGCUUCAAGAAAGAGACGAA